rnacentral:rRNA from 1 species
UACGUAGGGGGCAAGCGUUGUCCGGAAUCAUUGGGCGUAAAGAGCGUGUAGGCGGCCAGAUAAGUCCGCUGUGAAAUCUCGAGGCUCAACCUCGAGACGUCGGCGGAAACCAUCUGGCUAGAGUCCGGAAGAGGGAGAGUGGAAUUCCUGGUGUAGCGGUGAAAUGCGCAGAUAUCGGGAGGAAUACCAGUGGCGAAGGCGGCCUUCUGGACUAUAACUGACGCUGAGGCGCGAAAGCUAGGGGAGCAACGGG